AGCUGCCUCUCCCGCCGAGUUGGACACGGAUGGGCUGGGACGGGUUUGGGGGGGUGUCCCCAAUUCUAACUGAGAGUGGAGGAACCCCCUCCUGAGCUCUCUUGUGGGGGUCCCCCCUCCCUAGGGCACUCCCCACUCCCUGAGCCAGCCGAGAGGAAGGAGGCCAGCGAUGCGACUGGGGCGGCUCCUUUCUCCUGCACCCCAAAUGUGAGGGAUGCACCCCCAAUUUUUUCCCCUUCAAAAUAGGGGACCAGGAUCUCAGGGGAGAGUAGCUGAGGCCUUGCUCAGAGUCCUAGGCGAUCCACAGGUCCAGGGUGAACAGUGAGAGGGGUCAGAGGUGGAAGGCUCAGCGAGACAGCAGAGGAGGGUCAGCAGAGGUCAUGAGAAGGCCAGAAUCCAGGGUCAGGCUGUCUGGAACAGGAAGUAAAAUGGGCCGAGAUGGAGCGAGCCCCAAGUAUGCUUCGAAGACAAUUCCUGCCUCCCCAAAGCCUCCCUCCCCCACUCUUAACUGAUCCAACCGCCUGCACUGUGUAUGAGAGAACCUACUCUUCCAAAGCCCCUAUACAAGGGAGGGGACUCCUUAUAAGACCCUCCCCUACCAUCCAAUCCUCAAGGGGAUGCUAACAAAACUAGCAACAAAGUAGGAAAGAUGUUGAAUUGGAAGGGUGUUCUGGGGAAGAUGGAACAAUGGGUACAGAGGAAGAAAGCUGCCCACCCCCCUCUUUCUCUACCAGCCACCCCUCCCUCACACUGUCCGUUCCUUGAUGACACAGCUGAUGUGAUUAAGAUCGUCCCCAAACCGCUUCA